rnacentral:pre_miRNA from 8 species
UCUCAGGCUGUGACCCUCUAGAGGGAAGCACUUUAUCUUGUGUGAAAGGAAAGAAAGCGCUUCCCUUCAGAGGAUUACUCUUUGAGA